AAAGCCCUGCUGCAGAUGGUCCAGCAGUUUGGGGUGGAUUUUGAGAAGAGGAUCGAGGGCUCAGGAGAUCAGGUGGACACUCUGGAGCUCUCCGGGGGCGCCCGAAUCAAUCGCAUCUUCCACGAGCGGUUCCCAUUUGAGCUGGUGAAGAUGGAGUUUGACGAGAAGGACUUACGACGGGAGAUCAGCUAUGCCAUUAAGAACAUCCAUGGAGUCAGGACGGGGCUCUUCACCCCCGACAUGGCCUUUGAAGCCAUUGUGAAAAAACAGAUUGUAAAACUCAAAGAGCCGAGUUUGAAGUGUGUUGAUCUCGUGGUCUCAGAGCUGGCCACGGUCAUAAAAAAGUGUGCCGAGAAGCUCAGUUCCUACCCCCGGUUGCGAGAGGAGACAGAGCGAAUCGUCACCACUUACAUCCGGGAACGGGAGGGGAGAACGAAGGACCAGAUUCUUCUGCUGAUCGACAUUGAGCAGUCCUACAUCAACACGAACCAUGAGGACUUCAUCGGGUUUGCCAAUGCCCAGCAGAGGAGCACGCAGCUGAACAAGAAGAGAGCCAUCCCCAAUCAGGUAGCACACCCCUCUGCAGUCUCCCGCUCUACCCUGGGGGCGGGAGGACGCUAAGUGACAGCUAAGCCCCCGUGAUGGAGCUCGGCCUGUGUAAAGCCCCACCCCACAGCCUCAGUACCAGGCCAUCUGCUCUCUCUAGAGGCCACUUAGGAAUUGAUAAUUCUGGGAGAUGGCCUGAGAGCCAACACUCUGGCAGGGCCUAGUGGGCACAUUUUACCCACCCAGAAGGCCCUAUGUGCCAUCCAAGGCCAGGGUUAGAACUUGACUCUUGGCUGGGCACAGUAGCUCACACCUGUAAUCCCAGCAUUUUGGGAGGCCGAGGUGGGAGGAUCACUUGAGGCUAAGAGUUUGAGACCAGCCUGGGCAACAUAGAAAGACUCUGUCUCUACAAAUAAUAAUAUUUAAAAAUUACCUGGGAGUGGUGGGCUCAUGCCUAUCACCCCAGCUACUUAGGAGGCCAAGGUGGGAGGGUCACUUGAGCCCAGCAGUUCAUGACCAUCCGGGGCAAUACAAUGAGACCUCAUCUUAAAAAUUAAUAAUAGGCUGGGCACGAUAGCUCACACCUGUAAUUCUAGCAUGUUAGGAGGCUGAGGCGGGCGGAUUGCCUGAGCUCAGGAGUUUGAGACCAGCCUGGCUAACAUGGCAAAAACCCCAUCUCUACU
rnacentral:lncRNA from 1 species